GACGAACGCUGGCGGCGUGCCUAACACAUGCAAGUCGAACGGAACUGUUUUGAAAGAUUUCUUCGGAAUGAAUUUGAUUUAGUUUAGUGGCGGACGGGUGAGUAACGCGUGAGUAACCUGCCUUCAAGAGGGGGAUAACAUUCUGAAAAGAAUGCUAAUACCGCAUGACAUAUCGGAAUCACAUGAUUUUGAUAUCAAAGAUUUUAUCGCUUGAAGAUGGACUCGCGUCCGAUUAGUUAGUUGGUGAGGUAACGGCUCACCAAGACCGCGAUCGGUAGCCGGACUGAGAGGUUGAACGGCCACAUUGGGACUGAGACACGGCCCAGACUCCUACGGGAGGCAGCAGUGGGGGAUAUUGCGCAAUGGGGGCAACCCUGACGCAGCAACGCCGCGUGAAGGAUGAAGGUUUUCGGAUUGUAAACUUCUUUUAUUAAGGACGAAAAUUGACG
rnacentral:rRNA from 1 species